UAGAUUGAAGCCAGUUGUUUAGGGUAUUUAGCUGUUAACUAAAAUUUCGUGGGGGUGGAACCCACCAAUCUAG
rnacentral:tRNA from 1 species